rnacentral:rRNA from 1 species
ACUCCUGCGGGAGGCAGCAGUGGGGAAUAUUGCACAAUGGGCGCAAGCCUGAUGCAGCCAUGCCGCGUGUAUGAAGAAGGCCUUCGGGUUGUAAAGUACUUUCAGCGGGGAGGAAGGCAAUACGGUUAAUAACCGUGUUGAUUGACGUUACCCGCAGAAGAAGCACCGGCUAACUCCGUGCCAGCAGCCGCGGUAAUACGGAGGGUGCAAGCGUUAAUCGGAAUUACUGGGCGUAAAGCGCACGCAGGCGGUCUGUCAAGUCGGAUGUGAAAUCCCCGGGCUCAACCUGGGAACUGCAUUCGAAACUGGCAGGCUUGAGUCUUGUAGAGGGGGGUAGAAUUCCAGGUGUAGCGGUGAAAUGCGUAGAGAUCUGGAGGAAUACCGGUGGCGAAGGCGGCCCCCUGGACAAAGACUGACGCUCAGGUGCGAAAGCGUGGGGAGCAAACAGGAUUAGAAACCCCUGUAGUCCCAUGAU